CUGCCUCUUUCACAUAGCGCACCUCCCAUUUUUCAUCUUCAUCGGACGACUUCGAAGAAGGAGAGCAAAGGUUUCAGUCUCGCUUCGUCGCCAUGAGAGCCAAGUGGAAGAAGAAGCGCAUGAGGAGGUUGAAGAGGAAGCGCCGAAAGAUGAGGCAGAGAUCUAAGUGAUAGCUUCAGCUGUGCAGCUCUUUCGCAUGGCGUUUCUAUCUUUAGGCUUUUGAGUUUUGUCAGACUUAGUGGUUUGUUAGAAUUAAUAUGAGAAACCCUUGGUGUUCUUAUUUCUAUCUUUCUGCUACAUUUCCUAAUCUUUAAAUGAAAUUUGACCCUUUUUUUUUUUU